AUUGUAGUAAUACAAGGCAGACGGCUCAGUAACACGUAGUCAACCUACCCUAUGGACGGGAAUAACCUCGGGAAACUGAGUAUAAUGCCCGACAGAACACUAUUCCUGGAAUGGUUUGUGUUCCAAAUGAUUUAUCGCCAUAGGAUGGGACUGCGGCCUAUCAGUUUGUUGGUGAGGUAAUGGCCCACCAAGACUAUUACAGGUACGGGCUCUGAGAGGAGUAGCCCGGAGAUGGGUACUGAGACACGGACCCAGGCCCUAUGGGGCGCAGCAGGCGAGAAAACUUUGCAAUGUGCGAAAGCACGACAAGGUUAAUCCGAGUGGUUUCUGCUAAAGGAACCCUUUGACAGUCCUAGAAACACUGUUGAAUAAGGGGUGGGCAAGUUCUGGUGUCAGCCGCCGCGGUAAAACCAGCACCUCAAGUGGUCAGGAUGAUUAUUGGGCCUAAAGCAUCCGUAGCCGGCUCUGUUAGUUUUCGGUUAAAUCUGUGCGCUCAACGUACAGGCUGCCGGGAAUACUGCAGAGCUAGGGAGUGGGAGAGGUAGACGGUACUCGGUAGGAAGGGGUAAAAUCCUUUGAUCUAUUGAUGACCACCUGUGGCGAAAGCGGUCUACCAGAACACGUCCGACGGUGAGGGAUGAAAGCUGGGGGAGCAAACCGGAUUAGAUACCCGGGUAGUCCCAGCUGUAAACUACGCAAACUCAGUGAUGCAUUGGGCUUGUGGCCCAAUGCAGUGCUGCAGG
rnacentral:rRNA from 1 species